rnacentral:rRNA from 1 species
GAUGAACGCUGGCGGCGUGCCUAAUACAUGCAAGUCGAGCGAAGCGGGGACGGGUGAGUAACACGUGGAUAACCUCCUAUAAGACUGGGAUAACUUCGGGAAACCGGAGCUAAACCGGAUACUUAUAGAUGGAUCCGCGCUGCAUUAGCUAGUUGGUAAGGUAACGGCUUACCAAGGCAACGAUGCAUAGCCGACCUGAGAGGGGGAUCCGCCAAACUGGAACUGAGACACGGUCCAGAAUCCUAAGGGAAGCCAGAGUAGGGAAUCUUCCGGCAUGGGUGGAAGGCUGACCGGGCAACGCGGGGUAGGUGAUAAAGUUUUUCGGUUCGUAAACCCUGUUAGUAGGGAAGCGGUACCUAAUCAGAAAGCCACGGCUAACUACGUGCCAGCAGCCGCGGUAAUUC